UAUCACCGAAGACUUGGUUUAUGCUUAUU
rnacentral:piRNA from 1 species